rnacentral:rRNA from 1 species
UACCUGCAGCUCAAGUGGUGACCGCUAUUAUUGGGCCUAAAACGUUCGUAGCCGGUUUAUUAAAUGCCUGGGUAAAUCGUGUAGCUUAACUAUACGAAUUCCGGGUAGACUGGUAAACUUGAGACCGGGAGAAGCUAGAGGUACUCCUGGGGUAGAGGUGAAAUUCUGUAAUCCUAGGGGGACCACCAGUGGCGAAGGCGUCUAGCUAGAACGGGUCUGACGGUGAGGAACGAAGCCCUGGGGCGCAAACCGGAUUAGAUACCCGCGUA